ensembl:lncRNA
GGAAAUGAAGGCGAGCAUAGCUGCAGUCAGCACCUUAUCCCCGAGGUGUUGGUGCAAGUUCCUGGGCCGGCCAGACACACAGGGCUGCACCCUUCUAUUCCUCCCCGGCCACAACCCUCCCGUCACAGUUGAGCGCCUGUUUGCCUGAAGGUGAUUUCCAGAAGCAGGAGUCCCCAGAGCUGGCCAGGGGAUGAACCGCGAGGGGGCCCCCGGGAAGAGUCCGGAGGAGAUGUACAUUCAGCAGAAGGUCCGAGUGCUGCUCAUGCUGAGGAAGAUGGGCUCCAAUCUGACAGCCAGCGAGGAGGAGUUCCUGCGCACCUACGCGGGGGUAGUGAACAGCCAGCUCAGCCAGCUGCCCCAGCACUCCAUCGACCAGGGUGCAGAGGAUGUGGUGAUGGCGUUUUCCAGGUCGGAGACAGAGGACCGGAGGCAGUAGCUGCGAACCCCUUGGAACACCCUGGAAGCUGGCAAGGCCCAGGAGAUCUGUGUGGACCUCACCAGCUGAGUGGCGGAGGGUCACCUUCUCUAGCCCCUGUCCCCCACCCCACCCCUUCCUGUCCUGCCACUCGGGGUCAUCGAGGGGGACACCAGUGGUGCAGUUAUGAUUGGCUUAAAGGGACGGACUCAGAUUGGCUGCGGGAAGAAAUGUUUUUAUUUUUUAAAUCUUGACCAACAGAAACCUUUUUAUUUUUAUUUCUGACUCUUUAUUUUUUAAACAAAAAUUGCGCCUCGGUGUAUGGCUUCCCAGGAAGCUUGCCGAGCUCUGGUGCUUUAUUUAGGUCACUUUUUAGGAAUGUGAAGAGGUCCGAUUGGCUGCUUAAACUGGAAGAGGAUUUUGAUUGGCUGGCUAAUGGGAAAGGGUUUUGUUUUUUUGUUUUUUUUUUUUUCUUUGAUUGGCUGCAGGUGUUCUGCGGAUCGCACCAGCUUCUCUCUUUUGAAUGCUGAAAACAGGGUUUGGGACGUUGGUUGUUACAUUUGACUUGAAAAAAAGAAAGAAAGAAACCAAGUGCGCUUUGCAAUAUUUAUUACACAAAAAGCUUGCAGCUGCUUUCCCUGCGUUUUGUGUUUGCAUUUGAUCGGCUUUCCAUGUCUGUGUGUUUGGUGUCCCAUUGGCUGACCUAUGGCUCCCAUUGCCGUGGGCGGACCCCUCUCUGCCAGCUUGAUGACCACACCUGGCUCUGCCAGCAAGGGGACCCCGAGGACCCCCAAGCAGGGUCCACAGCUGGAAAGCAGGGUCCCCAAGGAGGUUUGUGUGGUCCUGAAGGAGCAGCCCAGAGCUUAGAGGUGACCAUUAGCCAGGAUUUAUGUGCAUCGCUUCCAUGGGUUAGCAGCCCGCCAGCUUCCCUUGGUGAGAAUGGAAUCGCUCACACGCUGCCCGACCGGACCUCUCCAGCCCGCCCUUGCCGAGCAGAGAGCGCGGUCUGGGCAGCCCUGUCCUUUCUGCCAUUCCAUCCAUAUCCUAAUUCCUGAGGCCUCAUCUGGGAGCUCCUCCUAUAAGGGUGAGGGGCUGCUCCCAGCUCUGAGACCCCAAAAUGUAGCAGAGGUCUCUGCUUGGGAGCCCAGAAUCCACCCAGCCACCCCAGCUUGGCUCACAAUGUCCAGGAGGCCUUUGGCUCCAAACGCACCUCCACCUCCCCCAGCCUCUUCCGGAGGUGACUGCCGCUGGGGCCGUGGGCUUGACCAGCACUCGGAGCUCUGCCAUCCGAGGCCCGGGCCCUUCAUUGCCCUGCCUUCGGAAGGGUCUCUCUCCAUGGCCACCUGGAAGGGACACUGUCGUUGUGUACCUGUGAGGUGCCCACUGGGACCGCUGGCAGGGCCUUCACUGGGCAAGUCCCACCAGGAUGGCCCUUGGCCCUGGCCCACGGAGGCGCAUUGCAGAGCAGUGGUCUUUAACGGGCUUCCGGAACCCGGGGUCUCCCCUCCUGCCCUCCUCCUUACCCCAGAGGCGGCCUCCUCUGCUCCCUGCAGCCCUCAUGGACUGGGAUCUGAGUGCUGAGUGGGAGGAAGAUGCAGGCCCGGGCAGAGGAUGCUUCCAGCCUGCCCCUCAGGGGGCGGAGGGCCAAGGCCUCCUUCUUGCCCUGGUACCCACAGCCAGGGGAAGCCUCUCAGAGCCAAAUCUGUCCCUUCUCAGUGCUUGGGGCUGUCGUAGAGCAUGGUAGCUGAAUGCCAGCGUGUCCUGGGCCUGAGCCCUGGAGAACCUGUGGCCAGUGGGCCAUUCAACCUGUGCUCUGAGCUUCCCCGAGCCCUGCCCCAGAAAGAGCUGAGUGUCACAACCUAGACACCCAGGUCCUCUGAACCCCCGGGCCCCUGGUGCUGGGUAGCUAAGUGUUAACAUGAAAAGGCCAUUGAUCCCCAGGGGAUGAGGACUGAGCAGGGGCCUGAGAGCAUCUUCCUCUAGGAGGGGCAGUGCGGGUACACACACACUGACACACACACACUCACUUCUAGCUCAGCGGCCUGCAACUCCAGCAGAGCCCCUGGGGAAAGGUGAGUUUUUCAGUCUCCCCCCCGCCCCCCACCAGGCUGUAACAUCUGUUGUCAGGCGGCCGUACUGGUGUUGCCAGCUGCCCCCUCUCCUGGUACCUGUAGGUCCUAUAAAGGGCCCAUGUCCUAGCCUGCAGUCUAUCCCUGCCCCAGCCUGUCCUUGUCAAGGUCAUGGGCCUUCCUCUUGUAACUGUGAUGGCCCUGAUCUGUCUCAUCUUCUGAAGGAGAAAAGUAAAAAUGUUGCUGUGGCUUCAUAUUUCAACUAAAAAUAUAUCUGUUGGAGGAAAAAAAAUUAACAAUAAAGAUUUUUAAUAG